rnacentral:rRNA from 1 species
GGACUACUGGGGUAUCUAAUCCUGUUUGCUCCCCACGCUUUCGUGCCUCAGCGUCAGAUAUGGCUUUGUGAGCUGCCUUCGCAAUCGGUGUUCUGUGUGAUCUCUAAGCAUUUCACCGCUACACCACACAUUCCGCCCACAGCAACCAUUCUCCAGUCAAACAGUAUCAGAGGCAGUUCCGUUGUUGAGCAACGGGAUUUCACCUCUAACUUAUCUAACCGCCUACGCACCCUUUAAACCCAAUAAAUCCGGAUAACGCUUGGAUCCUCCGUAUUACCGCGGCUGCUGGCAC